rnacentral:tRNA from 1 species
GGGGGGUAUGGCGGAAUUGGUAGACGCUACGGACUUAAAAUCCGUUGGCUUUAUUGACCGUGAGGGUUCAAGUCCCUCUACCCCCAA